GAGGGGGAGGGCUGGAGCAAGAGAAAGACAACUCAGCUGGCUGGCCCCUGCCCCUGAAGAAAACAAGCAGAGGCAGGAGGAAAACAUACUGUUCUUUGCAAUCUGAUCACCUCCGUGCAAGCCUCUGGGUUACACACCCGGGGACGCUGGGGCCCAGAGGCGUAGAUUAGCCCAGGCAGGAAAACCGAGCGUGGUGACUGGUCCUGCGCAGAUUAGAAACACAUUGUUGGAGAAGGGGGGUCGGGGGCGAGACUGUGCACGGCAGCAUGGCUGGAGUCUGGGUGUGGGGCCCCGGCGAGCGGGCCGGGCGCGGAGGGGGCAGAAGAAGGAGUGCGGAUAAUGCUCUGUUUGUGAGCUGAGAUUCCAGCUCCUGGGGUGGCCCCUGGCAGCUGCCUAGGCCUCACAGGGAGAAAUCGGGAACAACAAAGGCGCUGGGACAAAAGCGGCUCUGGCCAGAGGGGCUGCGGGCUCUGUGGGGCCAACAGCACUUCAGUUCUGAGGGGCACGGCUCCACCCUGGUAUGAGGCUGGAGGCGGACUGUCAAAUGGAGCUUACCGAGGAAAGGGAACUCAAGUUUUCUGGGUUACUGACACCGAGUUGUCCCAAACCACAUCAGUGCCUGUUGAAAUGUUAACUAUCCGCCAGCUGGGAAUUUUGUCACUGGGAAACCGGUAUAGCAAGCGCCCGUUAGCUUCCCGCCCAGGCAAGGACAUUGAGGGGUGUGAAGACCAAAGUAUGUCUUCCUGUCUUUGCUUCUGAGCUGACACUCGAGAAACUGUGAGACCCACAGCCCCUCAAAUCCCCCUUCUUCUGCCGGCUCCUCAUACCUGCUGAGCAAUCAUGAAAAUUCUCCCGCAGCCUGUACUCUAGCGCCCCCUGCUGGGAAUGACUGCUAACUCGUGGCUGAUUUGGCUGGGAAUCUGGCUGAUAGCAGCUAGGUUAACGUCGCCUCGCCCAGCUUUAUGAGGCCCACCUGGCCUUUCGCUCGGCCAACCUGUGAAUCCCAGGCUGCCGAAAUGGAGCAGGUGAACUUAACCACUACGCCGCUGGGCCAGCCUGGAAUCUGUGCUUUUAAGACUCUGAUGAUAAGCACGUUUGGCAAGAACUGAACUAGACACCUGGUCCACAGGCCUCUGUGUUCCAUAGUCUGGCCUCUCCAGGGGAGGAAGAGUCGGUUAGUUUAGCUCAAAACAGGGCUGGGAAUGGAAGGCGACUGAACCCCGGAAGACGGAAGUCGGCAAGAAGCUAUGAAGGCGCAGAAGCUAUUUGAAUUCUGGCCCGGGGAAGAGCAUUGCAGUCUGAGCCCUCCCGGGUGGGGCUCUCCGUGGCCAGCUCACAGCUGCCGGCAGAAGACCCCUUCUCGUGAUAAAAUAAGCGAAGAGUAGGUGUAUAUUUGUCUUCUGAGUUCUCAGCAAGAUCUGGAUGGAGCUGAUUCAGGUCACUUUCAGGGAGACCUAGUGUGCGUGUCUAGCCUGGUACUUGGCUUGACUCCUGUCAUCAUUCCUCCUUGGGACCAGGGCCUGGCCCUCACAUCCCAGCUCCGGUUGGGUUUCCAGCCUGUGUAGGCACAUCUUCCGGUAUCAGCUUCUGGCUACCUGGUACCCACAGGCUCCUAGACUUUGACUUGCUCCUCCACCUACCCACCUGCUCCGGCACUGAGACAGAAAUGGCCGUGCUACCCGUGAAGCUGCUCCUGGAGCACCCAGCUGCCCUUCUAGGACCAGUCUAGAACCAAGGAAGAAGAAUGACUGACACCAAACCCUUCUUGUGCCCGAGGCUGCAGUUUUCAGCAGCGCCUUUCCAGCUUCACAGGGAGGCUCUAUUCGGUUCACUGUUCAUCAGCAUGAUCUGACAACGAACUCGCAUCGCCCCUGAAAGUCUACUUCUCUUUAUUUCUUUUGAUUAUUUUUAUUUUAGUAAAGAGAAUCCCAUAUUCAACAAAGA
ensembl:lncRNA